rnacentral:rRNA from 1 species
CCUACGGGCGGCAGCAGUGAGGAAUAUUGGUCAAUGGACGGAAGUCUGAACCAGCCAUGCCGCGUGCAGGAAGACGGCUCUAUGAGUUGUAAACUGCUUUUGUACAAGGGUAAACCUGAAUACGUGUAUUCAGCUGAAAGUACUUUACGAAUAAGGAUCGGCUAACUCCGUGCCAGCAGCCGCGGUAAUACGGAGGAUCCAAGCGUUAUCCGGAUUUAUUGGGUUUAAAGGGUGCGUAGGCGGAUUGAUAAGUUAGAGGUGAAAUGUCCGGGCUUAACUCGGGAACUGCCUUUAAUACUGGCGAUCUAGAGUGUAGAUGAGGUAGGCGGAAUGUGUGGUGUAGCGGUGAAAUGCUUAGAGAUCAUACAGAACACCGAUUGCGAAGGCAGCUUACCAAUCUAUAUCUGACGUUGAGGCACGAAAGCGUGGGGAGCAAACAGGAUUAGAUACCCCUGUAGUC